GAAAUGCGAUAAGUAAUGUGAAUUGCAGAAUUCAGUGAAUCAUCGAAUCUUUGAACGCACAUUGCGCCUGGCAGUAUUCUGCCAGGCAUGCCUGUCCGAGCGUCAUUUCACCACUCAAGCUCUGCUUGGUGUUGGAGGACCCGCGUUUAGUCGCGGGCCGCCGAAAUGCAUCGGCUGUUGUAUAUACAGCUUCCCUGUGUAGUAAAUGCUUAGCUUUACACUUUGAAACUUUUAUAUAACAUGCCGAAAAACCCUUAACUUUUGAAAGGUUGACCUCGGAUCAGGUAGGAAUACCCGCUGAACUUAA
rnacentral:misc_RNA from 1 species